GACGAACGCUGGCGGCGUGCUUAACACAUGCAAGUCGAACGGACAGACAGAGAGCUUGCUCUCUUGAAGUUAGUGGCGAACGGGUGAGUAACGCGUAAUCAACCUGCCCUUCAGAGGGGGAUAACAACGGGAAACCGUUGCUAAUACCGCGUACGAUUCAUGAACGGCAUCGUUUAUGAAUGAAAGGUGGCCUCUAUGUAUAAGCUAUCGCUGAAGGAGGGGAUUGCGUCUGAUUAGCUAGUUGGAGGGGUAACGGCCCACCAAGGCAAUGAUCAGUAGCCGGGCUGAGAGGAGGAACGGCCACAUUGGGACUGAGACACGGCCCAAACUCCUACGUGAGGCAGCAGUGGGGAAUCUUCCGCAAUGGACGAAAGUCUGACGGAGCAACGCCGCGUGAGUGAUGAAGGUCUUCGGAUUGUAAAGCUCUGUUAAUCGGGACGAAAGAGUUCUGCGUGAGUAAUGCAGAAAAGUGACGGUACCGGAAUAGAAAGCCACGGCUAACUACGUGCCAGCCGCCGCAGUAA
rnacentral:rRNA from 1 species